rnacentral:rRNA from 2 species
UUUAUUGGGCGUAAAGAGCUCGUAGGCGGUUUGUCGCGUCUGCUGUGAAAUCCCGAGGCUCAACCUCGGGCCUGCAGUGGGUACGGGCAGACUAGAGUGCGGUAGGGGAGAUUGGAAUUCCUGGUGUAGCGGUGGAAUGCGCAGAUAUCAGGAGGAACACCGAUGGCGAAGGCAGAUCUCUGGGCCGUAACUGACGCUGAGGAGCGAAAGGGUGGGGAGCAAACAGGCUUAGAUACCCUGGUAGUCCACCCCGUAAACGUUGGGAACUAGUUGUGGGGACCAUUCCACGGUUUCCGUGACGCAGCUAACGCAUUAAGUUCCCCGCCUGGGGAGUACGGCCGCAAGGCUAAAACUCAAAGGAAUUGACGGGGACCCGCACAAGCGGCGGAGCAUGCGGAUUAAUUCGAUGCAACGCGAAGAACCUUACCAAGGCUUGACAUAUACGAGAACGGGCCAGAAAUGGUCAACUCUUUGGACACUCGUAAACAGGUGGUGCAUGGUUGUCGUCAGCUCGUGUCGUGAGAUGUUGGGUUAAGUCCCGCAACGAGCGCAACCCUCGUUCUAUGUUGCCAGCACGUAAUGGUGGGAACUCAUGGGAUACUGCCGGGGUCAACUCGGAGGAAGGUGGGGAUGACGUCAAAUCAUCAUGCCCCUUAUGUCUUGGGCUUCACGCAUGCUACAAUGGCCGGUACAAAGGGCUGCGAUACCGUGAGGUGGAGCGAAUCCCAAAAAGCCGGUCCCAGUUCGGAUUGAGGUCUGCAACUCGACCUCAUGAAGUCGGAGUCGCUAGUAAUCGCA